rnacentral:rRNA from 1 species
UACAGGGGGUGCAAACGUUGCUCGGAAUUAUUGGGCGUAAAGCGCGCGUAGGCGGCUACUUAAGUCGGAUGUGAAAGCCCUUGGCUCAACUGAGGAAGUGCACCCGAAACUGAGUGGCUUGAGUACCAAAGAGGGUCGCGGAAUUCCCGGUGUAGAGGUGAAAUUCGUAGAUAUCGGGAGGAACACCGGUGGCGAAGGCGGCGAGCC